rnacentral:lncRNA from 1 species
UUUCUUCCUUUUAGAGUUCUGAACAUCCAAACCACUGUCUCCUCCUUUUAAAUUCUCUGAUCUUUACCUCUUUCUCUUUUUUUUAUUUAUUGGAGUUGAUUGGCUUGCCCACACAUCUUUCUUUUAAUGCUAAUGUUGAUUUUUUUUAUCCAAUUAUUUUGGAGAAUAUGCUCAUUGAUAUAUCACCACUAGUGUUGAGUUUUUAUCAAGUGGAGGUUAUAUUGGUAAUGAGACUACUAGAUCCAGUUCUCGGAUCUCAUCCCUGAUCCCUAUUCCUCUUAUGUUUCUCAGGUUUGAUAUUUUUAGUUAUUGAGUGAAAAUUGAAAAUUUUGGGUUACUUACAUUUUGACAUAUAUUGGAAAAAAUUCAACCUCUUGUAUAUGUUAUAAAACGAAGUAGUGUUGCAGCAAAAUUUUAUUUUGAACAAAACUAAUUUUAGCAAAGAUUUUUUUGGGAGGAUAAAGCGGAAGAAAAUACUAUGUUACUGGUGGAACAGCGAAAUUUUGAGAAAUAGUGGAGGAGGAAGAGAGAGCAGUAGCUGGAG